CCUACGGGGCAGCAGUGGGGAAUAUUGGACAAUGGGCGAAAGCCUGAUCCAGCCAUGCCGCGUGUGUGAAGAAGGCCUUCGGGUUGUAAAGCACUUUCAGUGGGGAAGAAAGCCUUGGGGCUAAUACCCUCGAGGAAGGACAUCACCCACAGAAGAAGCACCGGCUAACUCCGUGCCAGCAGCCGCGGUAAUACGGAGGGUGCGAGCGUUAAUCGGAAUUACUGGGCGUAAAGCGCGCGUAGGCGGUCUGAUAAGCCGGUUGUGAAAGCCCCGGGCUCAACCUGGGAACGGCAUCCGGAACUGUCAGGCUAGAGUGCAGGAGAGGAAGGUAGAAUUCCCGGUGUAGCGGUGAAAUGCGUAGAGAUCGGGAGGAAUACCAGUGGCGAAGGCGGCCUUCUGGACUGACACUGACGCUGAGGUGCGAAAGCGUGGGUAGCAAACAGGAUUAGAUACCCUAGUAGUC
rnacentral:rRNA from 1 species